CAGCCGCCACGGGAAUACGUAGGCAGCGAGCGUUGUUCGGAAUUACUGGGCGUAAAGAGUGUGUAGGCGGUGCUCUAAGUUCGGUGUGAAAUCUCCUGGCUUAACUGGGAGGGUGCGCCGGAAACUGGAGUGCUCGAACGUGGGAGAGGAAAGCGAAAUUCCUGGUGUAGCGGUGAAAUGCGUAGAUAUCAGGAGGAACACCUGCGGUGUAGACGGCUUUCUGGAACAUUGUUGACGCUGAGACACGAAAGCGUGGGUAGCAAACAGGAUUAGAUACCCCGGUAGUCCCUGUCUCUUAUAC
rnacentral:rRNA from 1 species